GACGAACGCUGGCGGCGUGCCUAACACAUGCAAGUCGAACGAGGUCCAUGAGAGCUUGCUCUCGGACGACCUAGUGGCGAACGGGCGAGUAACACGUGAGAAACCUGCCUCGGAGUGGGGAAUAACUCGGGGAAACUCGAGCUAAUACCGCAUACCUUCAGAUGAUCGCAUGGUCGACUGAAGAAAGAAUUUCGCUCUGAGAGGGUCUCGCGGCCUAUCAGCUAGUUGGUGGGGUAACGGCCUACCAAGGCAACGACGGGUAGCUGGAUUGAGAGAUCGAUCAGCCACACUGGGACUGAGACACGGCCCAGACUCCUACGGGAGGCAGCAGUGGGGAAUCUUGCGCAAUGGGCGAAAGCCUGACGCAGCAACGCCGCGUGCGGGAUGACGGCCUUCGUGGUUGUAAACCGCUUUCAGCAGGGACGAAAUUGACGGUACCUGCAGAAGAAGCCCCGGCUAACUACGUGCCAGCCGCCGCGGUAAUAC
rnacentral:rRNA from 1 species